UACAUAGGGUGCAAGCGUUGUCCGGAAUUAUUGGGCGUAAAGAGCUCGUAGGUGGUUCGUCACGUCGGAUGUGAAACUCUGGGGCUUAACCCCAGACCUGCAUUCGAUACGGGCGAGCUAGAGUGUGGUAGGGGAGACUGGAAUUCCUGGUGUAGCGGUGGAAUGCGCAGAUAUCAGGAGGAACACCAAUGGCGAAGGCAGGUCUCUGGGCCAUUACUGACACUGAGGAGCGAAAGCGUGGGGAGCGAACAGGAUUAGAAA
rnacentral:rRNA from 1 species